rnacentral:rRNA from 1 species
GACGAACGCUGGCGGCGCGCCUAACACAUGCAAGUCGAGCGAUGAAAUUUUAACCGAUCUCUUCGGAGAGAAGAUAAAAUGGAUUAGCGGCGGACGGGUGAGUAACACGUGAGAAACCUGCCUUUCACAAGGGGAUAGCCUCGGGAAACCGGGAUUAAUACCCUAUGACACAUUUCCUUCGCAUGGAAGAAAUGUUAAAACUCCGGUGGUGAAAGAUGGUCUCGCGCCUGAUUAGCUAGUUGGUGGGGUAACGGCCCACCAAGGCCAUGAUCAGUAACCGGCCUGAGAGGGGGAACGGUCACAUUGGAACUGAGACACGGUCCAAACUCCUACGGGAGGCAGCAGUGGGGAAUAUUGCACAAUGGAGGAAACUCUGAUGCAGCGACGCCGCGUGAGCGAUGAAGGCUUUCGAGUCGUAAAGCUCUGUCCUAUGGGAAGAUAAUGACGGUACCAUAGGAGGAAGCCCCGGCUAACUACGUG